UAGGGAAUCUUCCACAAUGGACGCAAGUCUGAUGGAGCAACGCCGCGUGAGUGAAGAAGGUUUUCGGACCGUAAAGCUCUGUUGUUGGUGAAGAAGGAUAGAGGUAGUAACUGGCCUUUAUUUGACGGUAAUCAACCAGAAAGUCACGGCUAACUACGUGCCAGCAGCCGCGGUAAUACGUAGGUGGCAAGCGUUGUCCGGAUUUAUUGGGCGUAAAGCGAGCGCAGGCGGAAGAAUAAGUCUGAUGUGAAAGCCCUCGGCUUAACCGAGGAAUUGCAUCGGAAACUGUUUUCUUGAGUGCAGGAGAGGAGAGUAGAACUCCAUGUGUAGCGGUGGAAUGCGUAGAUAUAUGGAAGAAUACCAGUGGCGAAGGCGGCUCUCUGGUCUGCAACUGACGCUGAGGCUCGAAAGCAUGGGUAGCGAACAGGAUUAGAUACCCUGGUAGUCCAUGCCGUAAACGAUGAGUGCUAAGUGUUGGGAGGCUUCCGCCUCUCAGUGCUGCAGCUAACGCAUUAAGCACUCCGCCUGGGGGAGUACGACCGCAAGGUUGAAAC
rnacentral:rRNA from 1 species